GGGGUAGUGGCUCAGCGGUAGAGUGCUCGCCUAAUGAAUGAGAGGCCCUGGGUUCGAUCCUCAGCACCACA
rnacentral:tRNA from 1 species